rnacentral:misc_RNA from 1 species
AAGUCGUAACAAGGUUUCCGUAGGUGAACCUGCGGAAGGAUCAUUAGCGAGAUUGCCGUGCGCGCCAGGCCUGCAAAGGUUUGUGCGUGUGCGAGCAAGCGCCAUCCUUGUGUUAUGUGUGUGAUGUCGCGUGUGCCCACACUUCUCUCGGGGGGAGUGAGCACGUGCGCACAUUUUUUUCACCCAUUAUUAUUCGCAUUUUAUUCUAAUCCACUGCUCAUACGAGCACAAACAACCGAAAACUGCCAGCAAUGGAUCACUCGGUUCUC